rnacentral:rRNA from 1 species
UACGGCGGCCAUAGCGAGAGGGAAACGCCCGGUCACAUUCCGAACCCGGAAGCUAAGACUCUCAGCGCCGAUGGUACUGCAGGGGAGACCCUGUGGGAGAGUAGGACACCGCCGGACACCAUUCACGAUGGCCACCCAGA